rnacentral:lncRNA from 13 species
AUGCUUGAAAGGCCUCUGUUUAAGGCAAUGGAGAAAUCCAGCAGACCAUGAAUACACACUCAUGACAACACAGUGCACAAACUAAGAUGAUGUCCUACCAUAUUAUGUAUAAUCCAGAUGGCUGUGAUGAAGGCCAGCCAGGAGCUCCUGCGUGAGUGAUGGCAGGAAGACAUGACUCAGCUGCACCACAGUGGUACCCUGAAAAUAGCCUUUCCUCCAGGCUGGUGAAGAUGAGAAAAUUAUUCUCUUGGAGGCUGCCUGACAUGAUUGCUGAAUGAGCUGGAUUACUUUGCAACACUUGAAAGGUGCUAAUAAUAAGACCAUGCCCGUGUACAAAGUAAAGUAGUUACCCAAUUUACCAUAUGGUGUGUUGGCUCCUUGAAUUGGAAAAAUUCCACCUGCAAGCAGCAAGGGAUUUUACUUCUGGAAUCAUCUUGGGGGUGCCAGGUUUUAAUAAACAUCUUCAACCAAUCAUAUAGAAAAGUUGAAAGAAGUUUAGUGAACACUUGCAGACCUACUACGUAUAUAAAACUGCUGCAUUUGUAUUACAAUUGCUUUAUUUUUAUUUGUCCAUUCAUUUGUUAACUCAUCUUGAUUGAGUAUGUGUAUGUGUGUGUAUUUCUACGUAAAUAAAUUGUGAGCAACUAUGAUUUCUCCUAAGUGU